AUGAACGCUGGCGGCGUGCCUAAUACAUGCAAGUCGAACGCUUCACUUCGGUGAAGAGUGGCGAACGGGUGAGUAAUACAUAAGUAACCUGGCAUCUACAGGGGGAUAACUGAUGGAAACGUCAGCUAAGACCGCAUAGGUGUAGAGAUCGCAUGAACUCUAUAUGAAAAGUGCUACGGGACUGGUAGAUGAUGGACUUAUGGCGCAUUAGCUUGUUGGUAGGGUAACGGCCUACCAAGGCGACGAUGCGUAGCCGACCUGAGAGGGUGACCGGCCACACUGGGACUGAGACACGGCCCAGACUCCUACGGGAGGCAGCAGUAGGGAAUUUUCGGCAAUGGGGGAAACCCUGACCGAGCAACGCCGCGUGAAGGAAGAAGUAAUUCGUUAUGUAAACUUCUGUCAUAGAGGAAGAACGGUGGAUAUAGGGAAUGAUAUCCAAGUGACGGUACUCUAUAAGAAAGCCACGGCUAACUACGUGCCAGCAGCCGCGGUAAUACGUAGGUGGCGAGCGUUAUCCGGAAUUAUUGGGCGUAAAGAGGGAGCAGGCGGCACUAAGGGUCUGUGGUGAAAGAUCGAAGCUUAACUUCGGUAAGCCAUGGAAACCGUAGAGCUAGAGUGUGUGAGAGGAUCGUGGAAUUCCAUGUGUAGCGGUGAAAUGCGUAGAUAUAUGGAGGAACACCAGUGGCGAAGGCGACGAUCUGGCGCAUAACUGACGCUCAGUCCCGAAAGCGUGGGGAGCAAAUAGGAUUAGAUACCCUAGUAGUCCACGCCGUAAACGAUGAGUACUAAGUGUUGGGGGUCAAACCUCAGUGCUGCAGUUAACGCAAUAAGUACUCCGCCUGAGUAGUACGUUCGCAAGAAUGAAACUCAAAGGAAUUGACGGGGGCCCGCACAAGCGGUGGAGCAUGUGGUUUAAUUCGAAGCAACGCGAAGAACCUUACCAGGUCUUGACAUUGAUCGCCAUUCACAGAAAUGUGAAGUUCUCCUUCGGGAGACGAGAAAACAGGUGGUGCACGGCUGUCGUCAGCUCGUGUCGUGAGAUGUUGGGUUAAGUCCCGCAACGAGCGCAACCCCUGUUGCCAGUUGCCAGCAUUAAGUUGGGGACUCUGGCGAGACUGCCGGUGACAAGCCGGAGGAAGGCGGGGAUGACGUCAAAUCAUCAUGCCCCUUAUGACCUGGGCUACACACGUGCUACAAUGGACAGAGCAGAGGGAAGCGAAGCCGCGAGGUGGAGCGAAACCCAUAAAACUGUUCUCAGUUCGGACUGCAGUCUGCAACUCGACUGCACGAAGAUGGAAUCGCUAGUAAUCGCGAAUCAGCAUGUCGCGGUGAAUACGUUCUCGGGCCUUGUACACACCGCCCGUCACACCAUGAGAGUCGGUAACACCCGAAGCCGGUGGCCUAACCGCAAGGAAGGAGCUGUCUAAGGUGGGACUGAUGAUUGGGGUG
rnacentral:rRNA from 1 species